rnacentral:sRNA from 20 species
GUCGGGAUACUGGCCGGUGAAGAUCGUGGGCCGGCUCGGCACGCA